CGACAGGCUUAACACAUGCAAGUCGAGGGGCAGCAUAAAAGUAGCAAUACUUGGUGGCGACCGGCGCACGGGUGAGUAACGCGUAUGCAACCUACCUAUCAGAGGGGAAUAACCCGGCGAAAGUCGGACUAAUACCGCAUAAAACAGGGGCACCGCAUGGUGAUAUUUGUUAAAGAAAUUCGCUGAUAGAUGGGCAUGCGUUCCAUUAGGUAGUUGGUGAGAUAACGGCUCACCAAGCCGACGAUGGAUAGGGGAACUGAGAGGUUGGUCCCCCACACUGGUACUGAGACACGGACCAGACUCCUACGGGAGGCAGCAGUGAGGAAUAUUGGUCAAUGGGCGAGAGCCUGAACCAGCCAAGUCGCGUGAAGGAAGAAGGAUCUAUGGUUCGUAAACUUCUUUUGCAGGGGAAUAAAGUGCAGGACGUGUCCUGUUUUGUAUGUACCCUGAGAAUAAGGAUCGGCUAACUCCGUGCCAGCCGCCGC
rnacentral:rRNA from 1 species